UAGUCGGAGGUGUGUCUCGGGCGGUUGGUUCGCCGCUUGUCGGUGUUCAACUGGCCGGUCCGGACGUCCUGCCGGUGGGGCCGCGAGGCUCCGUCAUCCUUCUUUGGUCCUCUUCACCGAGUGCCUUGGUGGGCCGGCACGUUUACUUUGAACAAAUUAGAGUGCUCAAAGCAGGCCGUUGGUCGCCUGAAUACUGUGUGCAUGGAAUAAUGGAAUAGGACCUCGGUUCCAUUUUGUUGGUUUUCAGAACUCGAGGUAAUGAUUAAUAGGGACGGACGGGGGCAUUCGUAUUGCGACGUUAGAGGUGAAAUUCUUGGAUCGUCGCAAGACGAACCGAUGCGAAAGCAUUUGCCAAGAACGUUUUCGUUGAUCAAGAACGAAAGUUAGAGGUUCGAAGGCGAUCAGAUACCGCCCUAGUUCUAACCAUAAACGAUGCCAGCUAGCCAUCCGCCGAAGUUCCUUCUAUGACUCGGCGGGCAGCUUCCGGGAAACCAAAGCUCUUGGGUUCCGGGGGAAGUAU
rnacentral:rRNA from 1 species